AGCUGCCGCUCGGGGGCCUGAGCGGCCGCCUCCGCCGCCACCCGAAAACCCGGAGCGCCCCACACAGGUUUAGACCCAGUGUGCCUGGUGGGCUGUGCCCAGGUUCAGAGUCAUGCCACUCUGUGGGUGAAGCUUGAGGCAAUAAUGGAGCCACUUCAGCAGCAGCAGCAGCAGCAGCAGAAGCGGCAGCAGCAACAGCAGCAACAGAAGCAGCCACACCUGGCUCCUCUGCAGAUGGAUGCCAGAGAGAAGCAGGGCCAGCAGAUGAGAGAAGCCCAGUUCUUGUAUGCCCAAAAGCUGGUCACACAGCCGACUCUCCUUUCCGCCACACCUGGGAGGCCUUCUGGCAGCACUCCCUUAGGUCCCUUAGCCAGAGUUCCACCCACCACAGCAGUAGCCCAAGUCUUUGAACGGGGCAACAUGAACUCAGAGCCUGAGGAAGAGGACGGAGGUUUGGAAGAUGAGGAUGGGGAUGAUGAAGUUGCAGAGGUGGCUGAGAAAGAAACCCAGGCUGCUUCAAAAUAUUUUCAUGUGCAGAAAGUAGCUCGCCAAGAUCCCAGAGUGGCACCCAUGUCCAAUCUACUUCCAGCACCAGGGCUCCCACCACAUGGACAACAAGCUAAAGAAGACCAUACCAAAGAUGCUUCCAAGUCCUCACCUUCUGUCUCCACAGCAGGGCAGCCGAACUGGAAUCUGGAUGAGCAGCUCAAGCAGAAUGGUGGUUUGGCCUGGAGUGAUGAUGCAGAUGGAGGCCGGGGAAGAGAGAUCUCUCGAGAUUUUGCCAAGCUGUAUGAACUGGACGGUGAUCCUGAAAGGAAAGAGUUCCUGGAUGACCUCUUCGUCUUUAUGCAGAAGAGGGGUGAGUGUGCAUCUACUCAUCAUUCCAAUUCAGGGAAUACUGAUAGAGUGUCUACUGUGUGCUAGUCACUGUUAGACAUCCUGGCCCACUAAUCCUCAUCUAGGAGGACAAGAGGCAUUUACUGCCAGCUGGUUCUGGAUUUAGCCAAUUAACCAAUAGCCAGAUUGAAGAGGACAGAGAAGGCAUUGGCACAAAGUAGAUGGAAUGAUUGUCCACGUUUGGCCCUGCCUGAUUUUGUGUCUCUUCUUCCAAUUAACUGGUCUCUGGAGUCACUUCAAAUUCAAAUAUGCCUUUUUUAAGCCUUAAAGCUACCCUGGACUUCACUUAAUCUAGCGUGUGGGGCUUCUUGUUGGCGUAUCUAGUCUCAUGGAGAAAGGUAAGUGAAAGAAUAGAGGCCCCUCAGGAUAUUUUGGAAGGGUCUGAAAUGAUCCAUGGAAAGGAAAGGCCAACACUUUCUUCUUACCCAUUGGCUUUCGAUGUUUGUAUUUGCUGGCUUGGUUAGAACAUUCCUGCAGUUUAACAGUCAGGUACAUAGGCAUCUGCCUUUUUUUUGAGAUGAAGUCUCGCUCUGUUGCCCAGGCUGGAGUGCCGUAGCGUGAUCUCAGCUCACUGCAACCUCUGCCUCCCGUAUUCAGGCAAUUUUCAUGCCUCAGCCUCCCGAGUAGCUGGGACUACAGGUGCACACCACCAUGUCUGGCUAAUUUUUUUUUUUUUUUUCAGUAGAGAUGGGGUUUCACCAUGUUGGCCAGGCUGGUCUCAAAAUCCUGACCUCAAGUGAUCCACCUGCCUUGACCUCCCAAAGUACUGGGAUUACAGGCAUGAGCCACUACGCCCAGCCGGCAUCUGCUUUAUAAUGCACCCUCCCAAUUCUCUUUCCUUCUCUCCUCACUCCCCGCACAUCCCCAAGAGCCAUCUCUACCGUAAACUAUGGUGUGACUGAGUUUAGAGCUGAGUGACUCAACUUCCUGGCUUUGUAUUCAGUCAUAGCAAUGGGUUCACCAGCCAGGUCAGCCCUCAAAACACAUGGCCAGCACCCCAGCCUCUCUAGGAGAAGGCCUUCAGCAACCUGUGUGGCUCCACCUUCAUCACCCUCAGGACAAAACCAUAGAAGAGAGCUACUCCCAGUAGCCUGUUCCCAGUAUCCUGUUAUAGCUGAUCAUGCAUCCCUUGGUGCGAGUGUCAACAACUUUAUUGAGACCUAAGAAUGAAAUCUUCCUCUUUAUCCUGGGCCAAGCUGUAAUGGCAGCCCCCAGCAGCUAAAUAUUCUAAGUUAACUUCUCUCUUUCUGUUUCCCUCCUUCCUCCCACUCCUUUACCUUUGGCAGCCUUAUUGCCUUCUUGGUAGCCUGCCUGUUACCGCUCGUUUGCUUAAAAAGGCAAUCGAAAGUUUUGAAUCUUGGUUUUCCCCAAUCUCUAAGCCCAUCAAAGCAAUCUGAGCAGCCCUAAUUAGUUUGCUCCUCCAGCUGUUAUCUGGAACUGUGUGUGUCAGUAAAAAACAAGAAUAUAAUCCUGAGGCUGGGCGCGGUGGCUCCUGCCUGUAGUCCCAGCACUUUGGGAGGCCAAGGUGGGUGGAUCAGGAGGUCAAGAGAUCGAGGCCAUCCUGGCCAACAUGGUGAAACCCGUCUCUACUAAAAAUACAAAAAUUAGCUGGGCAUGAUAGCGCGUGCCUGUAGUUCCAGCUACUCGGGAGGCUGAGGCAGAAUUGCUUGAACUCGGGAGAUGGAGGUUGCAGUGAGCCAAGGUUGCAGUGAGCCAAGAUUUCGCCACUGCCCUCCAUCCUGGCGACAGAGCGAGACUCCAUCUCAAAAAAAAAAAAAAAAA
rnacentral:sRNA from 1 species